GAGGCAGCAGUGGGGAAUAUUGCACAAUGGGCGCAAGCCUGAUGCAGCCAUGCCGCGUGUAUGAAGAAGGCCCUAGGGUUGUAAAGUACUUUCAGUCGGGAGGAAGGCGUUGAUGCUAAUAUCAUCAGCGAUUGACGUUACCGACAGAAGAAGCACCGGCUAACUCCGUGCCAGCAGCCGCGGUAAUACGGAGGGUGCAAGCGUUAAUCGGAAUUACUGGGCGUAAAGCGCACGCAGGCGGUUGAUUAAGUUAGA
rnacentral:rRNA from 1 species